UAGUACUCCGUCCAAUGGGAGAAGUACAAGUAUGGAGUAACAGGGUUGGUGGAGGAGCAUCGGAUUCAUGCAUGGGCAUCAACAGGACAGUACCUAUAAAAGAUGCGACACUGGGAGUGGACCAUCAUCACUGGUGAGGUUGAAGAAGCUUCCUGGUGCUGCUCUUGAGGCCCUCUUUUUUUCAUCAUCGCCAUCUCCGUUUCGCUCCAUCAGAAAGAAGAGGGUGAUAUCUAAGAUGGCUGGUUCUAAAGAAAAGCCACUCACUGCAAAUGUCAUCUCAGGGGACAUGAUUUUUCAACCUAUAUUGGAAGAUGGAGUCUUUCGAUUUGAUUCUUCUGCAAAUGAUAGAGAUGCAGCAUAUCCUAGUUUAUCUUUCAUAAACACCAAGGAUAGGGACGUGCCAAUUAUGACACACAAGGUGCCCGUAUAUACCCCAACAUUUGAAUGUCUUUCUAGGCAGUAGAUCGUUAAAAUUGAGCUUCCUGCUGGUACCUCCUUCUAUGGAACUGGAGAAGUUAGUGGACAACUUGAGCGGACAGGAAAGAGAGUUUUUACUUGGAACACGAUUGCAUGGGGUUAUGGUCCUGAAACAACAUCUUUAUACCAGUCUCAUCCUUGGGUGCUAGCUAUUCUUCCCAAUGGAGUGGCACUGGGGGUUCUUGCUGACACAGCACGACG